ACCACCCCAAUCAAGGCUGUGCCCUCGGUGCGGCAGCCUGCACAGGCGCUGCCUGCCAGCUCUGAAACGUGUCAUCUCCCUUUCUUACUCAUCCCCAAAUAUUGUAGUUCAGCAUCCGGGAGCCACUGGCACUGAAAAGGAAGUGAUGCUCAAACACCUUUGACACCUCAUCCUGUCUGAAAAUUGCCAUUUGUUCUUGCCCUCAACACUGCCAUCAGGAGGGGAUCUCCUGGAGUGGAAGAUAACCUGUGCCUGAUGGACUUCUGCUCUGGGAAAGCAUCACCAGGUAGUGCAUGCUGCUGCAGCGCUGGCUCCAGCAUUAUUACUUCUAGGUUGUUUGGCUGGAGUCAUUUGGAAAACUUCAAGAAAUUUUGGAAAACAGCACUAUGGAAAUUAGAAGUCUCUCUCGUAUCUGCACGGACUUCCAUAUGCAAAUACACGCAUCUUUGGAGCUAAGACUGUGUGCUUUCAUCGUUGCUGCAGUGAGCUAGUUAAACACUUCCCUGCCUUCACCAGGAACAGAGCAUGGUGGUGAUGGUCUUUGCAGCUUUCUGGGCUUGUUACCACUCCAACUUCUGCUGCAUCACAAGAUUUUCCAAAUUCCUUCCUGCUCUUUGUAUUACAUUUGUACCUUCAUGUCCAAGUGGUAAAGACUGAGCCAGAGCACUGUGUGAGGACAGAGAGGGGGGACCCUGCUUCUGGCAGGGGGCUGCCUCCCAUCUGUGGGUGACAGAGCUCUGUAAGUUCUUGUUCACAGCAGGAGCAAGGAAAGUGUUAGUGCUCCUUUCCUCCCCUUUCCCAUCCUUUUCCCACUAAUGGCAUCUGCCUGAGUGUGCGAGUUGUUGUCCACAUGGACUGGAUGAAACCACACUGUCCCACCAGGCAAUUCUGGGCUGCUCCCUGCUGCUGCUUCAGCAACUUCUCUGCGUCCACACCACAUCUUCACUCCAACACCAGGCUUUGCUAUGAAAGCAAUGGUGUCAGAAGGAGCAGAGUUUCCAAGUUCUUCCUCCUCGUGC